UGAGCAAUGAGGAUAAAAAUUUGUCCCUGAUAAAUCUUGAUGACCUUAUACGCUAUUCUGAGCCACUG